GAUCCUGGCUUAGGACGAACGCUGGCGGCGUGCCUAACACAUGCAAGUCGAACGGACGAGGGGAGCUUGCUCCCAAGUUAGUGGCGGACGGGUGAGUAACACGUGAGCAACCUGCCCUUCGGAGGGGGACAACAGCGGGAAACUGCUGCUAAUACCGCAUAAUGUAUCCUGGAGGCAUCUCCGGGAUACCAAAGAUUUUAUCGCCGAAGGAUGGGCUCGCGUCUGAUUAGAUAGUUGGUGGGGCAACGGCCCACCAAGUCUGCGAUCAGUAGCCGGACUGAGAGGUUGAACGGCCACAUUGGGACUGAGAUACGGCCCAGACUCCUACGGGAGGCAGCAGUGGGGAAUAUUGGGCAAGUGGGGGCAACCCUGACCCAGCAACGCCGCGUGGAGGAAGAAGGCUUUCGGGUUGUAAACUCCUUUGACGAGGGACGAUGAUGACGGUACCUACGAAAACAAGCCACGGCUAACUACGUGCCAGCAGCGGC
rnacentral:rRNA from 1 species